ACUCAAAUGAAUAGACGGGGGCUCACACAAGCGGUGGAGCAUGCGGCUUAAUUCGAAGCAACGCGAAGAACCUUACCUGGGCUUGACAUGCAGGAAUGCCCUUUGGGGAUAACUCAGAGGGCUGCCCUUCGGGGUGAAGCCUGCACAGGUGUUGCACGGCUGUCGUCAGCUCGUGCUGUGAAGUGUCGGGUUAAGUCCCUUAACGAGCGAAACCCCUGUCGCUAGUUGCCAGCGAGUCAUGUCGGGGACUCUAGCGAGACUGCCGGCGUUAAGCCGGAGGAAGGCGGGGACGACGUCAAGUCAUCGUGGCCCUUAUGUCCAGGGAUGCACGCGUGCUACAAUGGCAGUUACAGAGGGACGCAAGACCGCGAGGUGGAGCAAAUCCCAAAAAAACUGCCCCAGUUCAGAUCGGAGGCUGCAAUUCGCCUCCGUGAAGUUGGAAUCGCUAGUAAUCGCGCAUCAGCUACGGCGCGGUGAAUGUGUUCCUGAGCCUUGUACACACCGCCCGU
rnacentral:rRNA from 1 species